rnacentral:rRNA from 1 species
GACGAACGCUGGCGGCGUGCCUAAUACAUGCAAGUAGAACGCUGAAGGAGGAGCUUGCUCUUCUGGAUGAGUUGCGAACGGGUGAGUAACGCGUAGGUAACCUGCCUGGUAGCGGGGGAUAACUAUUGGAAACGAUAGCUAAUACCGCAUAAGAGUAGAUGUUGCAUGACAUUUACUUAAAAGGUGCAAUUGCAUCACUACCAGAUGGACCUGCGUUGUAUUAGCUAGUUGGUGGGGUAACGGCUCACCAAGGCGACGAUACAUAGCCGACCUGAGAGGGUGAUCGGCCACACUGGGACUGAGACACGGCCCAGACUCCUACGGGAGGCAGCAGUAGGGAAUCUUCGGCAAUGGACGGAAGUCUGACCGAGCAACGCCGCGUGAGUGAAGAAGGUUUUCGGAUCGUAAAGCUCUGUUGUAAGAGAAGAACGAGUGUGAGAGUGGAAAGUUCACACUGUGACG